rnacentral:rRNA from 1 species
UGCCAGCCGCCGCGGUAAUACGUAGGGGGCAAGCGUUAUCCGGAAUCACUGGGCGUAAAGGGUGCGUAGGCGGCCAAAUAAGCCAGAGGUGAAAGGCUACGGCUCAACCGUAGUAAGCCUUUGGAACUGUAUGGCUUGAGUGCAGGAGAGGAGAGUGGAAUUCCUAGUGUAGCGGUGAAAUGCGUAGAUAUUAGGAGGAACACCAGUGGCGAAGGCGACUCUCUGGACUGCAACUGACGCUGAGGCACGAAAGCGUGGGGAGCGAACAGGAUUAGAUA